UAAAGCCGCAGGUGCCCCCCCAGCCCAGGCCGCCAGCGUGCUUGACCCCGUCUCUGGGGAGUCUGAGCUGUGGGCAUCCACAGCCCAUCAGGGUGGGGCCCUGGUGCUGGUGACCUCGGGGCCCCGGGUGCUGGGGGGGUCACUCUGUGCUCCCCCACCCAGACCCUCCCCGCCCCUCCCGCCACAUUUCAGAGCCUCACAUUUUGUUUGCACGGUUUCCUAACCUCCCUCGCUCUUCGCCCGUCAGUACUGCCUUCGGCACGGCCGCCCCCAACGGCCAUCCUCACGUCUGUGUCUCCCUGCCCUGCUUCUGCGAGCUGCACGGUAAAGGGUGUGUGAAGCCCGAGGGAUCGCUGUCGGCCUCCCGGGAGGAAAAUGGGUGAACGUGGAUGCAGCAAGGCGCCGUCCGUCCUGACUCCCGCAGUCCCUUGGCACGGCCUUGGCUCUCCUCACUCCAGUUCUCUACGCUGCCGGGUUAUGUCACCUUCGCCGGUUCCAGAAGGCUGGGCAAGCCACUCAGAGUCCAGCCAGGCCAUGGGGAUGCAUCUGCCACGGUUCCGUUCUCAGGAACUCCGCCAGGUUCUGGGUGGGACUGUCGGCCCGGACCGGGCAGACGGUGGGCCUCGGGACCUCCUGCACACACCCACCAGCAGUCAUUGAUUCAGCGCAGGGGCGGUUGGAGUUUCUGGGAGACCGUGAGCUUGGAGGACCUCUGCCCGGGCUGCACAUGAGGGUCACCUGAGGGGCUCUCGUCCAAUCUCAGGGCCUGGACCCCACCCCAGGCUAAUCGAAUCUGCCCCUGGAGGAAGCGGAGGAGCCGGGGCAGUCAGCUAGAGAGGGUCACGGGUCACUGGAGGUGACUGCCCCAGCGUCAGCUUGUGGGCGGGGGUGGACUGCGGAGGCAGCGGGGACCAGAGGCCAAGGACAGAGUCCGUGCGAGGGGCCGGAAGGAAUGGGCGUGAGGCCAUGAGCGAGGCGGGCUGCAGGCGACAGGAAGGACAUGGUUUUCUCACAGGGGACAUCUGUUUUCUCAGAGAGGGGAUGGUUUCAGCCGGUGUUGCAUUGGGGGCAAUGUUGACUGCCUGGCCCCCCAAGUUCACCUGCACCCUGGGACCCAGGAGGCUCAAAGACGCAGGCCCUCCAAUAGGACCUGAGAUCGUCAGCAGCAGCGAGAGGCUCUCCCUUCCAGCUCCAUCCAAACAGCAGACACUGUGGAGGAGGGUUUUUUAACUGCUUUAUUGUGUUUGGAAAAAACAGUGCAUGGUGGUUUUACACUAAAUUUAAAAGCUCAGAAGAGAAGGGCGCCCGGCUGGCUCAGUCGGAAGAGCGUGUGACUUGUCUUGGGGUGGUGAUUUCCAGCCUCACGUUGGGCAUAGAGGUUACU